ensembl:lncRNA novel transcript, antisense to KRBA2 and RPL26
AGGUAAAGGGGGCCCAUGGGUCUAUCAGAUAACCUGAACCCGAGACCUCUCAAUCUGGAGGAACAGCUUGAAGAAGUCAUCUAGAAGCUAUAAAGUCACAGAAGCUUCUUAUCCUAUUGAAAGCAAGACUUCCUAUCCAAUGGCAAUACAAACUUUUACGCAGUAAGACCCUGCACUGAUGGAUCCGCUGGUGCCACCCAGAUCAAUAAACUGGCUCAUCUGAUCUUGUGGCCCCCAUCCAGGAACCAACUCAGAGCAAGAAGACAGCUUCAACUCCCUAUGCCUUCAUCUCUGAUACGACCUGUCAACACGCCCCACUCCCUGGCCCCCUACCUGCCAAAUUAUCCUUAAAAAAACUCCCAUCCCUAAAUUUUCCGGGAGAAUGAUUUGAGUAGUUAACUCUGGUCUCUCGUUCUGGCUCUGCAUGAAUUAAACUCUUUCUCUAUUGCAA